rnacentral:rRNA from 1 species
GACGGAGGAUGCAAGCGUUAUCCGGAAUGAUUGGGCGUAAAGCGUCCGCAGGUGGCAGUUCAAGUCUGCUGUCAAAGACCGGGGCUUAACUUCGGAAAGGCAGUGGAAACUGAACAGCUAGAGUAUGGUAGGGGCAGAGGGAAUUCCUGGUGUAGCGGUGAAAUGCGUAGAGAUCAGGAAGAACAUCGGUGGCGAAGGCGGCAUCCUGGACCGGCAUUGACGCUGAGGCGCGAAAGCCAGGGGAGCGAACAGG